GACGAACGCUGGCGGCGUGCCUAAUACAUGCAAGUCGAGCGAAGCGGCGGAUGGGUGAGUAAGGCGUGGGGAACAUGCCCUUAAGUCUGGGAUACCAUUUGGAAACGGAUGCUAGUACCGGAUACUAAAGGAUGGACCUGGGAUGCAUUAGCUAGUUGGGAAGGUAAGGCCUUACCAAGGCGAUGAUGCAUAGCCGACUUGAUGGACUGAUCGUCAACCUGGGAACUGGGACACGGCCCAAACUCCUCGGGGAGGCAGCAGUAGGGAAUUUUGCACAAUGGCCGAAGGUCGGAUGAGCCAUCGCCGCGGGAGUGAAGAAGGUUUUCGGUUCGUAAACCUCUGUUGUUGGUGAAGCGGUAAUCAACCAGAAAGUCACGCCUAACUCCGUGCCAGCGCCCCCGGUAAUA
rnacentral:rRNA from 1 species